GUCUGGAGUGCAGUUUUUUUUCUCUCUUUUUGCGUUUUCUUCCGAAUAGCCAAGCUCUGAAAAUUGUGUUCCGGUGUGUGGUGCGCACUGUGUUUUUUUUGGUGUGUUGCGGCUAGGGCAGCAUCGUUAUUUAUGCUACUGCAUUGUCAAACUUCUUUCCAUCUUUUUUUGUUUAUUGCAAGGACUGUGGUAGUGCCGCCAGCUCCUGUCUAUGUUCCUUCUUCCUCUUCAAUUCAGUGCUAGGUUCCCUCAAUCUCUGUGACUCUGCGAAGUUGCGGAAUCUGGGUCGGUUUUGCGCGGCGCUCUGUGGUAGCUCCGGAUUUCCUACGUCGUUGUUCUGCCGUUGACGAACUUUACCGGUGCAGUGUUGUUGCCCUUUAGAGGAUUCUGCCUCGUCUUCAACUCUUCAUUCCCUUGUUCCAGUGGAUGGUCUGCGGGAUUCAGGGAAGUAAACUGCCGAUUGUUGUAGGGAGUUUUGGUGAUGCCGGAGACGACGUGUGGUUGAGUGCAAUCUCUAAUUUCCUCCUUCAUGCACGCGGAUGCUCUCACUCUCCACUAAGCGGCUCGGCUUUAUCUUCUUCUUGUUCUCAGUUCCUAGCAUUUGCUUAUCUACAAAAGGUUCGGUUAAUGCUGCUUGUUUGUAGUUGGUUGCAGUCGAUUGAUCUAAGCUAGGGCAUGGUUGUCGGCAUCAAUCGGUGUCCCACUUGCACCAAGGCUUAGUUGGUAGUUAAGAUUUGGGCGUCAUUCUCUCAGCAGCAGCUGGAGUGUAAUGGUCGAGCUCUCACUACAUGUGUGUUUGCUGGGUUUUGAGAAAUUCUCGCCACCUUCUCGCAAGCACGUCGGUGAACAGUAAUUGCACAGUGAUGCAGAUACACAGACACUUGUUGAAUAUGCCUGUAGUACUGUGAUCGAUUGGUAGUAUGACUGUGGGCGGAUCAAGAUUGCCGCUGGAUUCUUAGUUUGCAAGGGUUGUCCUAAAUCUUUGAUCCACUUGUGCAUCUCCUAACAAGACCCCUGAUGAGCUCUUUUUUGGAGUUAAAUCAAACAUAUUACAUCUUUGAAUAAAUGGAUAUCUGCGUUACAAAUU